GAUGAACGCUGGCGGCGUGCCUAAUACAUGCAAGUCGAGCGAACAGACGAGGAGCUUGCUCCUCUGAUGUUAGCGGCGGACGGGUGAGUAACACGUGGAUAACCUACCUAUAAGACUGGGAUAACUUCGGGAAACCGGAGCUAAUACCGGAUAAUAUGUUGAACCGCAUGGUUCAAAAGUGAAAGACGGUCUUGCUGUCACUUAUAGAUGGAUCCGCGCUGCAUUAGCUAGUUGGUAAGGUAACGGCUUACCAAGGCAACGAUGCAUAGCCGACCUGAGAGGGUGAUCGGCCACACUGGAACUGAGACACGGUCCAGACUCCUACGGGAGGCAGCAGUAGGGAAUCUUCCGCAAAGGGCGAAAGCCUGACGGAGCAACGCCGCGUGAGUGAUGAAGGUCUUCGGAUCGUAAAACUCUGUUAUUAGGGAAGAACAUAUGUGUAAGUAACUGUGCACAUCUUGACGGUACCUAAUCAGAAAGCCACGGCUAACUACGUG
rnacentral:rRNA from 1 species